rnacentral:lncRNA from 1 species
UGCUAUUGGUGAGUUUGAAGCAUAGGCUGGACAUGUCCAGCUCAGCUUUGCCCUUCUUUCUCCUGGGAACAUGGCCUACAGGGAGAUGGUGUUCUCAGCUGCUCCUCAAGGACUGCUUCUCCUUCCUGUCCCAUGGGGGUGAGGUGUUAGGGUCUGUAAACAAGUCAAGAUGGCGCCUGGCAUUUUGCAGAGGGAGUGGUUUGUGAAGUAACGCCAACGAGCCAUUAAGUGUGGAGAUUCCUUAUUGGUUGACUGCUGUAUCUAGUUUAUGUUAAUUAGAUAAGCUGUGUGGAAUGUAUAUAUACCCCUCCUUUCCUACAAUAAACGGCUCCCACUCCUGCUGUAUCAAUGUACACAAGUUGUUCGUCACCCCCCAGUUAUUUUGCUGCAGCUGGACUGCGGCAGUGAGGGACUAACCAAUUCUGGGGAUCUCUAUUGGUGAUGAAAAUCAAUCAGGGCCAAGUUCCAUUUCCCCAGGUGUGAAGAUUGAACACCCAGGAAAUGCUGAGGAAAGCGUAGAAAGCAAGUUAUAUUUAAAGGAUAGAAGAGAGAUAGACUUCUCUGCAGAAAUGGGGCCCCAGAACUGGAUAUCCAAAGAAGUGGGGGUGCCCUGACCCUUUUAUACAUUUUAGAAUUCCUUUGUUCUCAUGCCCUCCUUCUCCCCCAUCUCUCUCCUUUCCCCAUCCUGCAUAAGUGACCAAAAUGAGAGCUCCAAGGGCAGGAAUGGAGGCACCCAGGGGUAAGAGCAGAAAGAGACCAGCCCAGGAAGCAUUAAUUAAGAAAUCCUACAACUUCCUGCAGGGAAGAACAAUUCCUGGGGCAGAUUACCUUAGCAAAAGAUUGGAGGAGGAGGGGGAAGGACUUUGGUGAUAUCAGCAUUGGAUUUCCUUUCCUUUCCAACCAGUCCCCAUCUUCCCAAUCUAACCCAAUUAUUUACUAUCUACAUUGACCACCUUUUGUCCCCCAGCUUCAUUAGGAAGUCUUUGGCAUUAACACUUAGCCAUAUCAAUAAAGAUGACAUUUUAACCUCCACCUGAUACUCCAAUUUUUAUUCCCAUAUGUUGACAAAUUCAGGCAAGAAAGAGGAGAAUUCUUUUUUUUUUUUGGGGGGGGGGGGCUUUCAAGUCUCCAGCAGCCUGGUUGCAGCAAUAUCACCAUGAUCUCUCCAACCUUGGUUCCCUGGAAUCCCUUCUGAAUGCCUGCAGGAGCUUUGCAGAAUAUAAAUCAGAUCGUGUGGCUUCUUGCUUAGCAUCUUCCACUGGUUUACAGUGCAACUGAAAUCAGACUAAAUUCUCCAUGUCCCCGGAACCGGACUCCUGCUCUCCAGCUGUGAUUCAGGUCACUGCUCCUUACACUCAGGGAUCCUGCUGCUGCAUGGACACCAUGCUAGAUAGGAAGGACCUUGGGGACUUGACAGUGGCUUUUUCACUACCUGGAAAGUUCUUUGUUGUUAUGCAUGUCUCUGCGUCCUUCCUGAAGAGACUUCUCAUCCCUUCUGAACUGGUCCCUGCACCCACUCUUUUGUUUUCUUGAUGGUAUAUCACUGUCUGACUUCAGUAUGGGUAUUCACUGGUCUCUUCAUUUAUUGUCUGUCUCUCCCGCUAAAUAGGAAGCUUUUCCAUGAAAGCAGAACUAUCCCCAUCCCUAUGUAUCCUCAGUGCCUGGCACAGAGUAGUCACUCAAUAAAUACAUGCAAUGAAUGAAGGUGAGAUGUUACAAGAAGAAACAGUGCAUAUAACAGCCUAGUUCCAUAUGAGCCAAAAGAUGUGGGAUUUCAGACUUUGCCCAACCCUGAUGGAUUGUGAGUCCUUGUGCUUGUCAUUUAACCUCUGUUUGUUCACAGUCCCCCCUCUAGCAAUCAGGAAUCUGAGGAUCCCUAGUUUAUGGUCUCUCCACCCGGCAGCCUUAGAGAGGCCAGAGGUCCAUCUUGAAGGGUCCCUUGCUACCCUCAUCCCCCCUCAGGUUUGCUGGCUUCUUAGGAAAUGCUUGUUUCCCCAGCUCAGGAUCUGUGCUCUUUCCCUCUGCCGGCUCCUCUCCAGCAGUUAGUGCGGCAGCUGAAUUAUUUAACUGUGUAAGUGUUUGGGGACAGAGUUUGAAGGGCAAAUAAGAUAACAAAUGAAGCAGCCCUGUUUGCAUCAUUCUUUUCGCUGCUGGGGAUUCUUGAGCUUUUAUUUUUCUUAGGCAUCUUGACUUUACCAACAUAAAGAGUAAAACAAAUCACAUACACAAAUCAAACCCCCAGCCCUGCCAGAGUCGCUGCAGCCUGAACAGGAGCGAUUUUAAAUGAGAAGAUUAUAGCUGUAGCUAAUGGAGCAGGAGCAACAAACACUUGUCCUGGGCUGGCAGCGCCAAAUGCCCCUUAUCACCCUCAACGAGUAUAUUAUUUUAAUGUUAAACACAGGAAAUUGCAAACUAGUAAAGUCACAUUCAGACUUUCCUCCCCUCUGGUUGUCCGGUGACAGCGUGAGCAUUAAUAAGUUCUUGGUAUUGUGAGUUUUCUUCGCAGCCUGGUUCAGCAGUCUUUAUCUCCUCUGGUACCUUUCGGUGAACCAAGCAAUAAAAUCUCCUUUUAGAAGCACAAUACGUUUCCCCCAACCCUAUUCUUCUGGGGCUUUUAUGACUCACAAUUGACAAAAGCCUCACUAAUGGAAAUGCAAAUUUCCUACCUGUCAAAGACUGAGAAUGCUUUCGGAAAACACUGGCGGCCCAGAAAGUACAUUAGCAUGUCCGCAUCAGGGAGAGAGCUGCUUCCAAUAAAUUUGUGGGAUAAAAAUGUUUAUUUGAUGCUGGGAUAGAAAUAAAAUAGCCGUGAUUAGAUCUCCCAUGCAGACAGGACAACCCUUUAAGAAGGUUGAACUUUUAUCCCUAUGGUUUCAUUGCAGGCAUUAUUCAGAUUCAAACAACCUGAUGAUACUACUUUUAUAAAGCCUUUGAUUAGGAGACUGGAUGGGGCAGGAGGUUUGGGUACCCUACCUCUCCCUCCCCUCUGUUUUGCUUCCCAAGGAAAACUCAGAGGAAUAUCUAUAGCAAUGGGAUUUGUCACCUCUAAACAGUUGACCAUCUUUUCUUCUUCUUGCUCAUUCAUCAUCUUCUAUUAUUAUUAUUAUUAUUAUUAUUACUAUUUGUGUGUAUGUGUGUGUGCACACACACACACUCAUAUACAUGAAGAAUAGUCAGUGGAAGGUGGCCUUUGCCUGGCGAGCCGGCCCUGGGGACAGGUGCUGAGAAGCAGCUUGCUAAGGAAGACCUAGCAUAGGGCCACAGACUGGGUGGUUUGAACAACAGGAAUUUAUUGUCUCAAUUGUGGAGGUUAGAAGUAAAAAAAAAAUCCAGGUGCCAACUGUGUGCUGGUUCCUUGUGGGGGCUGCGAGGCCGGGCCUGCCCAGGCCUGCCCAGGCCUGCCCAGGGCUCUGUCCUCAGCUUGUAGAUGGUGGCUUUUCCCUUUUCCCUCCCUGUGUGUCUCCACACUUUCCAUCAGCUUGAAAUUUUUGACAAAUCAAUCUGCUCCUGAGGAUGCUAACAGGGGCUUGGAGCAGUCACCCAGGCUUGCCUUGUGUCACCGACUGUGAACGCACUCCAGCUAACCCACGUGUCUGCAGCCUCAUGUGGAGCCAUGUCCCCAAUCUUUUAAAACAGGAAGAAGAUGCUACUGACCAAAAGGGGCUAUUAGCCAUUGAGGGUGUUAGAUUUCCCCUCUGUGUCAAUCUGGCCAAAUGUUCCCUUUUUGUGAGGACACUGGGCUUAUCAGAUCAGGGACCACUCUAAUGACCUCAUUUUCACUCAUUACCUCUGUAAAGACCCUGUCUCCAAAUAAGGCCACAUUCUGAGGUCCAGGAGGUUAGGACUUCACAUAGGAAUCUGGGUGUAGACACAAUUCAAACACACUGGGGGCUCUGAUCCGCUGGGCUCUCCUUCUUCAAGGAGAGUGGGCAGAGAUGAGAGAAUGGUGGGCUGUCCCCUGCCCUUGGCCUCCUGCUCCCUGUCACUGCAGCCUGCCCUUGAAGUGACUGAAGCUUUCCAAGGACCCAGUUAUGGGCUUCUCCUCAGUGGCCCAGCGGAAGUCCUAAUGUCCAACAGAACAUUUUAAUUACUUUAAAAAUGCACCCUAAUCACGAAGACACCGUGGCAGAGAGCCUGAUGAAAGUGACUUUCCCUGCACAGAGCUGUUCUCUGUGAAAGAGAGCUGCUCUCAGGGGAGGAAGUGAGGCCAUAGUGCAGCCAUUUCAAGGAACCAAGGGCAGGAAAUCCUCACACCCUCAGUGUCCAGUAGCACCUUUUGGUCAGUGGCAUCUUCUUUCUGUUUUAAAGGAUUGGGGACAUGGCUCAACAUGAGGCUGCAGACACGUGGGUUAGCUGGAGUGUGUUCGCAGUCAGUGCACAAGGCAAGCCUGGGUGACUGCCCCAAGCUCCUGUUAGCAUCCUCAGGAGCAGAUUGAUUUGUCAAAAAUUUCAAGCUGAUGGAAAAAAAUAACUGUAUCUCAUUUAUUUGAGUUUGUCCUCAUACAUGAAAAAGAAAGAGAGAUCACCCCUCUCCUUCAAUUUUGGAUUAUCCCUAGGAAGAGUUAUAGGACUGUAUUAUUUGGCUUGAAACAACAGGGAAGUGUUGCUGCAGAGCUAUGUAGUUUGCAGUCUGAAGUCAAGACCUCUGCAGGCCGUGUUCCCGCUAAAUCUGGGUUUCCUUCUGGCUACUUCCAGCUUCUGGAGGUUGCUGGCAAUCUUUGACAUUCCUUGGCUUGUAGAUAUAUCACUGUAGUCCUUUAUCUUCACUUGGUGUUGUUCUUUGGGUCUUUGUCUUCAGAUGGCCGUCUUUUUAUAAAGACCCAGGACAUAUAUUUAUACUUAAAUGUCUGAGGCCAGAAGUUGGAUACUGGUGGCCUGUAAGCCCAAUUUAGCUAUUGCUUCUAUUUUUUUAUUUUUUGUGUUGAUGGAGAUUGAGCCCAGGAUCUCGCACACGCCAGGUAGCACUCUACCACCCAGCUAUAUCCCCAUCCCAGUUUACUAUUUUGAUGAAGUAAAUUAAAUUGAAAUGCUUUAGGUGGGCCCACGUGUUCCAGUUUACCACAGCCUCCACCACUUCCUAUUGUCAUGCUUUUAGAUACUAUCUUGUCCUGGAUUUUAGAUUCUAACCUCUAAAGUUUUGGGGUGAGGACAGAUGCUUGGGGUUGGAGAGGGAGAGUGAAGGUGAAUAGGUAACUUGCUUUUGGAGAACAGCAGUGGUGGGUAGUCAGAAUGGCAAGGAUCUCUGCAUUCUCCUCCAACCCAAAGCCCAAGGGCAUCAAGACCUCCCUGGGGGAGGCCAUGGAGAUCCCUGGGACAGAGGGCAGCCCCUAGGAAGGACUGGUGGGAAACUUGGUCUGGGGAGAGGAUGCAGAUGUAGAGACUCAACGUGCCUUAGACUUACCAAUGUACCGAUCCCAAGGGCCUAACCAAGUUUCCUUGUUAUCGUGAACUCUGAAGGUGCUUAUGUACCCUCAAAGAAAAGAGACAGAGCUAGGAAAGAUGGGGUGGGGAGGGUAGCCAAAUCUACCUAUUUUUAACUUUUUUAUCUUAUAGUUUUUAUAAUUGAUAUUAGGAGCAAUAUAUUUAUCAUAUAAUAGAAGUGGUUUAUUAUAAUAUGUAACAUUUCCAUAUUUAGAAUAUAGUAAUGUAUUAUAAAAUAUAUGAUAUCACCAAAUUAUGAAUUUUUAAAAUUAUAUUAUUCCCCACAGGACUUUUACUGUGGGGAAUUUUGAACAAAUGUAAUAGACAAAUAUAGAAUGCGCCAUUCUCAGUACAUGUUGAUGACCUCAGUUCCUUCCCUGAUCCUUCUGUGCUUUAGUAGACUAACUGCAACAAGGUCUCCCUGGGCUUUGAGUACACAUGCCCAUUCUCGUCUUCUGGCUUGGAAGAACCAGAGCAGACUCGGUCCUGAGCCCUGGUGGUACACCAUGCCUCCCAGGAGCUGCGGGGAGUUAGGGUGAAGGCUGUCACAGCACCUCCUGCUCUCCACGGCCUAGAGAGCAUCUUAUGGGCCUGGUUGGGUGCAGGGUAGGAACACUGAAUGACCACACAGCUCUUGGCUUGGCCUUUGAACUCAGCGAGGAGGUAUCUAAGCAAAAUCCUGGAUCUUUGACUGAAAGCAAGGGUUUUAUUUGAAUAACUGUCUUCAGCUCUCUGGGGACUGUCAGGUGUGAGGGCAGGGGCCUUUUAGUCUGUGCUCACCUCUGCAAUGUUGUGCGUUAAGAACAGGCCUAAGCUGAUCUGUCCAUUCUCUUUGGGAAACAUCACCAGCCUCUGACAGUUGUAGGGAAUUGUGUGUUCCCUCCUCAACCUCCCUUCCAGGUGGCGUGUUGUAAUGAAUGCUCGUCUCUAGCUGAUUACUGACAAGUGUGCAGUGAUUAGCAGGCCAAAUACAAAUACACCCCUUGUACCUGUGGGCCUGGCCAGGUCCCUGCUCACUGCCCUUCCAGAAAGAUUCUCUGAGACACAUGUAAGAAUAUUCUGUCGGUAGAAUCAACUACCCUAUGGGAUGAAUCAAGCAGCAGACUCUGCGGAAUGUCUUUGCAAGGGGAAGGAGAGGCAGACCCAGAACUAGGUAGAAUUUUAAGAGCUCAGAUUCCCCCAAAGGUGUUAGUCUGGGGGCUCCUAACUCACAUACUCAAUUUAUCCAAGUGGAGAGGAUCUGUUUCUAGGAAACCCCCGAUCUCCAACACCACGAAUUUCACAAGGGAAAAAUAAUUUCUAGCAUCCCAAUGCCAAACAAUGUGGCCUGUAGUAUAGAUUUAACUAGCUUGUGGAACCUCUGCCCUUGAGGGUGGACUCUUGAUUUCAGUCUUGCAAAUAAAUGCUUGAUCAACCCCUUCUAGAGAGUUCAUAGGAAUUAAUUCACAUAUGCACACAAAUAUAUACUAUCCUUACUGAAUUAUUUUAAUGUAAAUGAUGUGCACUCGAACACCAGUAUUGUUGCCAGAAAAUAUUUGUUGAAUCAAUCAAUAUUAAUUAUAUUUCUUGAAAUCAGGAAACCUUCCAGAGCCAUUGCACACACGUUGAAGGAAGAGAGCGCCUUGGGUUAUGCUGGAUUGUGGAAGAGGUAACAAGGAUAUAAAAAUGGUGGGGCAAACUGGUAUGAUAAUAUGUUGUCUUCACUCUGGGACCAUGCGAAUUCCCAAGAGACAGAGAACAGAUUUAACUUCAUGUGGGGAAAGCUAAAGAAAAACAUCUGGAAUUCAUUCCUCACUUCUCCCACCAUUCCCUGGGGAGGUCCUUUUUCAACUCCUGGACAGGUUUGUCAUGUGGCUAUGUAUAUAUGCAAAAUUUUGGUGUUGAUAAAAUCAGAAGCUGAAGGAUUGAAGAGAGUUCAUACAUUCAGAGUGUGCAGAGAGAGUAGGGGUGUCCUGAGAGGAGGCAGAGAGUUGGGCUGGGGUGGGUCUUCUGGGACCAUGGUGAGGAUCUAAACCUCUCCCAUACGGGUUGAAUUGUGUGUCUCCAAAAAAAGAUCCAAUGAGGUCCUGACUCCUAGUACCUCAGAGUGUGGCCUCAUUAGGAAAUGGGGUUGUAGCAGAUAUACUCAAGUUUCAAUAUAAUUAGGGUGAGCCUUCUCCAGUAUGACUGUAAUCUUAGAAAGGGGAAAGUUGGCCAGGUGCAGUGGCACAUGCCUGUUAAUCCCAGCAGCUUGGGAGGCUGAUGAAGGAAGACCUUGAGUUCAAAGCCAGACUCAGCAAUGGCAAGGUACUAAGCAACUCAGUGAGACCUUGUCUCUAAAUAAAAUACAAAAUAGGGUUGGGAUGUGGCUCAGUGGUCAAGUGUCCCUGAGUUUAAUCCUGGGUACCCAUCCACCCCCAAAGGGGAGUAAAUUUGGACACAGACUCAAACAUACACAGAGGGAGAACUGUGCAAGAGACACAGGAAGAAGACAGCCAUAAGUAGACUGGCUUUUUGUGUCACCAGCCAGAAAAUGUUGAAGGUUACCAGAAGCUGGGAGGGGCAUAGGGGGAUCUCCCACUUUUUUUCUGAGGGAACAGGGCCUGCCAACACCCUGAUUUCAGACUUCCAGCUGCCAUAAGGUGAGACAAUAAAUUUCCAUUGUUUUAAGUCACCCAGUUUUGAUCCUUGGAACAGACCUACUCCCUGGGGGUAGUGGGAAACCAGCAGGGGGUUUUAAGAAGGGGAGCUGGUGGGCCUUUGAUUUUGAAGUUGUCCCAGCAAUGCAGGUGUCAAGGUGAUUAACUGUAUCUGUGACCAAUCUUGCAAGUAUCAGUUUUUUUUUUUAUUUGUCUACUUACUGUGAGAAGUAAGCAAGAGGUCAAGAAAAGAAAUGCAGCCUGCUCCCAGAAUGUUCUGUUCCAUUUUGUCCACAGAUCAGCACUGGCUAGGGGUCAAGGGAUGAGCAUAGAGGGUAGGUGCAGGGCCACCUUGGGGGGGCAAUUUCUCUCCUCUCCAGGGGAGCCCCUGCCAAAGGCUUCUGCCAUUUUGUAGAUGCAGGGGCCAGGAGGAGUCAGGGAGAGGCGAGGAGCAGAAAAGUAGGGAGUACUGAGCCCCAGUGAGGGAAUGUCCUCGAGGUACCUAAGGAGAAGGUCUUGGGCAGCUUCUUCCCCUCCACAAAGCCUGCCAGGUGAAGCCAUUGGAAUUUCCAUUGUCUGAGGAUCACACAUGGGUUUGUUGUGUCCUGGAGUCAGAUUCCCCAAAAUUGUGAGAGAGGUUCACAUCAAAUAGAUGGUUAGGAUAUGUGCCUGCAGCUCAGCCAGGACAUAAAGGUGAUUUGAACUGGUGUGUGGCUGUGGGCAUGGAAAGAAAUGCUCCAUCCUGGAGAUAUUGGGCUGUGGAACUGACAGGACACUCUGGUUCUUUGGACCCAGGGCCAGUCAAUACUGGGGUUUGGAAUUUAGAAGGGAAAUAAGAGAAUAAGAGAAGACAUGAACAUAACAAUGGCAAUCAGUAAAAAGACCAAAUAUACAAAGAGACCAUGGCCAGGCCCACACAUGGAAACAGAUUGUAAUCAACCUGCUCCGGAAACCCACCCCUUACCUAGAAUAAUCAGGAAGCCAGCUUGCUGUGGAUCAGACUUGCUGCUAGGCUAUUGUAGUUACCCCAUAAUGAUCUGCCCCAGGCCAAGACUUGAUUAAUAACUGACAAUUUCUCUCAUUUUGGUUCCUGCUUCCAACUAAGAACCAAUCAGAAAAAGCCAAAUAUGCAUCCCUAACUAGCCACAGAGGAUGCCCGUUUUUAGCUAGCCCAACUGUAGCUUCCCUACGCCAACAGCCUCCAGUCAGGACAGACCUGAACUCUUCCCUCUUUCCACUGUAAAAUGCUUCUGCCCACUGCAGAGUUUGCCAGAACAGAUGGUGGCCGACUCCCUUGCUAGAGCAAGCUCUGAGUAUUUACUUGGCCCAUUCUCAUUUCGCUGGUCGUGGACAGUUUCCAUACUUCCCUAUUCCUCUUUGAUACUUACUUCCCUGAGAUGGGCACGGGCAUUCCUUGACUUCAUGCCAGGUGGGCUGCCCACUCCUCAGACAUCUCUUACCUUUCCUCCUCUCCCAAUGUUCCCAUUGUCUCUUCCUCUUGCCUUCACUCAUCUCUCACUCAUCACUUGAUAGAAGGACUAACAAACUGGAUGGGGUUGACCACUGACCCCUUUCAGUGGCAGCCUUUUAAGAGGGGAAAGGUGGGAGACUGCAGCAGAGAGCCACAGACUGUGCUGUAACCGGUGAGUCCAUUGUCCCCAUUUUUCCCGGCGUGAGCUGGGUGACCUAAUUGGCCUUUGGUAUCUCCAGUGUCUUUGGUUGUCUGGACAUUGAUUUUAGUUUGCGACUGUCACUUAUGACUAAUGUGGCUCUUUUGAUGAACACGUUUUGAAGGGGAAAACAAACAGGACGAUUGACUUGUUACUGAAAAUUAAUUAAAACUAGAUUCCAGCAGAGGAGAAGAGGAGAAAGAUGUCAGCAUAAUUUAGAGGCUUGGGAAAGGUAAAUCAAAGAACACUCAAUUUCACAGCAUGUUUCACCAGCAUCAUAAAGGAGAAUAAACAUGUCCUUGUUAGUAAUAUUUAGAUGGAGCUGACUUGGGCUUCCAGGGCUUGGCAGGACCAGAUUCUCCUACGUUCCUAAGAUCCUUGCAAAAAAAUCAGCCAGGAUCAGAUUCACCCAUUUUACCAGGGAUACAGUUUUUCCUUCUUUUCUAAAUUGAAAACAAAGAGCACCAUUCCUGGGUGAGUGGAUGGGGGUGGGGGGCUCAGGUCCUUCCUGGCCUGGGAUGUCAUGGCAGGUUGGUUUUGUUCAACUUCUUUAUCCCUGAAAAAAGUGCUUUCUAGGAAAGCUGAAACACGGACUCAUCUGAAACAAGAUAAACAUUUCUAAUUUGGACUUGUCCUCUUUAGGUGAUCUUCCAGAAGGCUCCAGGGCCUUUGAUAAAUUAGUUCUCCAGCUCUAAUUCCAAGGGUGAUUGUACAAGAUAGAGAAAAACUGUUGAGAGGAGAGGGAUUUGGAAAAACAUUUGUGUGUCAAGGCCAAAACCUGCACCCUUUCCAAGUGUGUUGGCUGGCUUGACUCUGUCCUGUGGGGGUGCAUAGUUGGUGACAUCUGAGUGGGCAAGGAGUGCAGGCCCCUCCUGUGAAAUGCAGGGCUCUGAGUUCAAUUCCUCACCUUACCAUUUCUUUGACAUCUGAUCUCUGGCUGUUCACUUUGCCACUGAACCUUGUCACUUUGUAAAAUGGGGAUAAUCCUAGUAUCUACUUCCCAAGCUUAUUAAGUGAUCAUACAAUAACAUCCAAUGAAAAGAAUUUAGAAGGAUGACCCCUUGCAAGAAGUGCUAAAUCAAAAGCAUUUCCCUUCAUAUCACCAACCAACUUGAGCUUCACUCUUCUGCCUUAGGAGGCAAGAUUACAUGUUUUAUUUAUUUAUUCAUCCAAGCAAACGUUUUGAGGCCAACUUUGUGCCAGGUGCUGUUUCACACAUUGAGUCCAGAGCAGUGGGCAGACAUGCCUCCUUUUAUCCUGGUGCACAGGUGCUGUUGGGAAGCUAGGCAAAGGACAACCUAGCACUGGAAGAGCCCCCAGUUUCCCGUGGUGACUGCAUUAAUGUCCUAAGUAGGGCUGUCCUAACAAAUGACCCCUGCUCUUGCACUUUGUGGAGGGCAGAUGUCUGAAAUCAAGGUGUUGGUCGAGCCAGGUUCCCUCUCUUCAGGCCUCGAUGUUCCUUGGCUUGAAGAUGUGAAACUCCAGCCUCUGCCUCCCUUCCAUGUGUGCCUGUUUCUGAAUUUUUCUCUUAUAAAAACAAUAGUCACAUUGGAUUUAAAUCCCACCCUAAUCUGGUGUAGCCUUAUGUUAACUUGAAAAGGUCUAUAAAGACACUCAGAAGUAAGGUUGAGUUCACAGGUUCAGGGUGGAUGGAAAUUUUGGGGGUUGGGGUGGGGACAUUAACUCAGCACAGUGAAAGGACAAGGACAAGGAACCUGAAUCAAGUGUCAGGGAGUGGAGAUGGAGUUAUUAUUGCUUGGGGGAAGGUACUGAGUUGGGAUGGAUAGGCCCUCUGGGAAUGUGACCUGACCUUGGGGUUCACAUAGAAGGCAAAAAGACAUCAGUGAUAGGAAAAGUGUCCUUUUCUGGAGUAAAUCUCUUUUCAGACCAUCAGUGACCUUUCUAAGUCAGAACAUCUCCAUGCAGAGGACAUGCUGAAAUCAACUGGGGAGCUUAAAAAACAUAUAUGCCAAUUCUUGGAGGCCCACUUCUGAUUAAUUAAACAGAAUCUCUUGAGGUUGGGACCCAAUCUGGGUUCUUUUAAAAGCUCCCUGGGUGAUUCCAGUGAGAAGCCAGAAUAGAGAUCCCGGAGUGGGGCGGAGGUUCCUGGUUGCAUAAUGGAAUCACAGUUUCUAAAGACUUUAUAUUAAUGUUCUCAUUUAAUCUUUUAAAGAAAAAUUACUGAUGCCUGGGUCCCAGGCAUUUGUGUAUGGGUGCAGCCUGGGCAUCGAGAUUUCUCGAGCUCCCCAGAUGAUCUUAAUGUGUCCUGGGCAGCUCCGGCUGCUGCUUCUUGAUGGUGUUCAGGGUGAGACCUGCUGAAGAAGGUAAAAAUCAUGUUGGAAAAGGCCCUCCAUGAUUCAGGGGUGUGACACUUUGGACCAGAGGGUAGUCCCAAGGUCUCAGGCCCCCGGUGAAGGAAUUGGAGAGACAGAGAGGCAGAGCAGGAAGGGGAGGCAGAAAAGCAGGAGGGUGCAGCAGAGCAGAGGCCCUCGCGAUGCAGAGAGUUCCAAGCCCAGCACUUUCUGAAUAGCAUUUGCUGCAACCUUCAGCAAGUGAUUUACCCUCACUAGGCUCAGUUUUCUCAUCUGUGAAAAAAAAUAAUAAGAACACCUGAUUCUUGUAAAAACUGAAACACAGAGCACUUCACACAGGGCCUGACUGUUGAGAACUCUCAUAAAUGGGUGCUGAUGUGUUUGACCAGAGGCACCUGUCACCCACCUUACACACUGGCCCAGAGCCCAGGAAGCUGUAGAAUCUUAGCCAAGUCUUAGGUGACCAUCAGCUGGCCAAUUGAGCCCAGGGUGCUGAACCUCCAGGUUUGAAAUAAUUUCUGUCCUUGCCAACACCUGUGAAGGCCCUGAGUGAUGGCUGAAGGUAAGAUGCUGAACCCCAGAGCUCUUCCCAGAAGGAGCAUCUUUCUUGAUCUUCAGACAGUCCUUGAACUUGACUUUGCUGUCCAUCUGUUGUGGGGGAAUCAGGUCAGUCAGGAGCACCUGUUAGCAUCAGGCCUCCUGGCCAGCGGGGUCACCCUUGUCAAGAAGGUCAACCCCACCUUGUGAGCACAGGUGACAACCAAGCUGUGGAGACCCUAUUUUUUGAGGCCCCCAGAUGGGGUGCUCCUGGGAUACUGUGGUCCUGGAACCUUGGGGAUCCAGGCUGUGCAGCUGUACCCAGCCCUGGCUUAGGGGCCAGCCUGCACCACAGAGCUGGUUCUGAGUAAUGUUAAUAAAGUUGAGCUGUCUUUUCCCACAGCAUGCCACAUCUGUCUUCAUUGAAGCAUGCUCUCUGUAAUUUCAUUGUGGGGUUUUCCAUUAAAAAGUUUGAUUAAUUCCAUAAAUAUUAAAAUAAGACAGAUAAUUAGAAUCCAGGUACUCACUGUUACACAAAAGCAGUAAAGUCUGCACUAAAUUAUUAUUAUUAAUAAUAAGCACUCAUAUAGCACUGGUAAUAAGUGCACGGCAGAAGCGAUUUGUGGUCAUUGUUAUUAAUAUCAUCCCCCCCAAGACAGCCUGGGCCAGUGGCUGCAGCUCUCCCUGUGUUCUGGAACUGAGACAGAUGCCCAGCCAGGUGAACUGAUUUGCUAAGACUUGGCUGGAGAGUAUUUUACUUGAGCUUUGGCACUCACAGGCGUGAUCACUAUAGUCUCUCUCGCUUCUGGUCCCUGGAGACAAUUUCUCCCACUCUCUCCUGACUGAUUUCCUCCUAUGUUCGGAAGCUGUCUGCAAGCUUUCUCUAUUCAACAGCCCUGGGGAAGACAGAGAGAUGGGGAAAGAGGCAAGGGACGUGGUCCCGUGGGUGUUUGCUUGAGAGCAAAGCUGAAUAAUAGGUGUCUCCAAGCCUCUGUAUAAAUCAUGUGGACAAGUUUAAACUAUGAAUCAUUAAGGUAGAAGGGAGGGUGCACUGAAUCAAUAAAUAGCAAAGAAAGGGGAAAACUCUCGUCACACUUAAGUCACAGCACCGAUUUUGUUGUGUUUGGUCACAAUCAUAAUUGUUUCACUAAUCACUUUAUGGUGGAUUCACAAAGUGGCCACCUUGGACAAUGGAAAAAAAAAAACAACCCAAACCCAGCCCUGUUCUUAUUUAUAAUUUUUAAGCAGAGAAAUAAGUUAACUAUAUAGAACACUAUUUUUUCUGUCUUUUUAAAGCACUUGUUAUUUAAAUAAAAAUAGAAUACCUCCAUUAGUUAACCCAAAAAACAGGGUGACCUUUGCUUUCUGUGCUCGUGUGAGAAUCUUUCCUUUGCUGCUGGCUACGGAUGAGGCAUUGAUGAUAGUGCACCAACCAGAUCUGGCAACAAAGCCAGACCCAGUGGAUAUGGGACCCCAGGCUUUGGAGACAGCUGCCAUAUGGCUCUCUGGCUACUGUUGCCCCUUCUCAGAAGGCCCUGGAAAAAGCAGAUUCUACUGUGAGCCCCUUUCUCUCUCUCUCUCUCUCUCUCUCUCUCUCUCUCUCUCUCCCCCUCUCUCUUUCUUACCAGGGAUUGAACUCAGAGGCACUCGACCACUAAGCAACAUCCUCAGCCCUAUUUUGUAUAUUUUUUAGCUACAGGGUCUCACUGAUGCUGAGGCUGGCUUUGAACUUGUGAUCCUCCUGCUUCAGCCUCCUGAGCUGCUGAGAUUCUGAGCCCAUUUCUGACCAGUAAAGAGUGAAGUAGAGGUGACAGAAAACUUGGAAGAAACCUGGCACCCAACUCGACAGGUCCUGGCAGAUAGCACUAAGGGCAUUCUUGACUUGAGGAAGGAUUGCAGAGGUAGAAGUCAUCCCAUGACUGUGCUUUGAGGGGGACAGAUGGCACUAACAUGGAGCUGGGACAAUGGUGAAUGCAUGUCAUGUCCUGGUAUAUGCUAAAACAUGGUUAAAGUGGCAGACUUUAUAUUAUGUAUAUUUUACCACAAUAAAAAAAGGCAUGUCAGGACAUAUUGGAAAUUAAAGCAAAAGAAAAAGUGAGCACUACUGAUCCUGUCUGAAGAAAUCUUGAUUUCUGUUCAUCAAAAUAUUUUUGCAUUAUGGUUUGGAUCUUCAGUGUUGCCCAGGGGUUCAUGACCCUGGCUGAUGGUACUAUCUGGAGGUGAUGGAAACUUGGGGAGGUGAGGCCCAGUUGGAGGAAGGGGGUCAUUGGGGGAAUGCCUUUGAAGGGUAGAUUGGGACUCCAGCCCUUUUCCUCUCUUGAUUUUCCUCCUGGCUGCCAUGAUGCGAGCAGCUUUGUUCUACCCUGGCCCUCCCCACCAUGAUGUCCAGCCUCACCACAGGCCUGAAACAGCAGGACCAAGUGCUCAUGAAGUGAAACCUGAGUCCAAAUAAAUUUUUCCUCCUUUUAAGUUUUUUACCUCUGUAUUUUGUCACAAAGAACAAACCACCCUUCCCCACCUGACCUCGAUGCUUUGCCUUCUGUGGUUUUAGUUACCCAUGGCCAACCGUGGUAUGAAAAUACUAGAUGGAAAAUUCCAGAAAUAAAUUUUCAUAUGCUUUUAAUAAUUUUAAUACCAUACCUUAUUAUAAUUGUCCUAUGUUAUUAUUGCUGUGAAUCUCUUUGGGGGCCUAAUUUAUAAAUUAAACUAUCAUAGGUAUGUAAUGUAUAAAAAAGCAGUGUGUGUAUGUGAAUGUACAUACACAAAUACAGAAGUCAGUACUAUUUGUGGUUUCAGGCAUCCACUGGGGGUCUUGAAAUAUAUCCCUCUAAGAUAAGUGAAGACUACUGUAUUGCAUUAAAACUGUUUUUAUUUUUAUUUUUUUAACUAUUUUUUUAGUUGUUAAUGGACCUUUAUUUUAUUUAUUUAUAUGUAGUGCCGAGAAUCAAACCCAAUGCCUCACACAUGAUAGGCAAGUGUUCUUAUUUUAAUACUAAGUUUUUGGACAGCUCCUUAAAUUUUGAGCCAUAAUCUAGGCCCUGUAGUGGGGGGGUCCUCAGAAGUAGAGACCCAAGGGAGAGUCUGUUGCUGCCUGAUUCAGAGGCGGAGGAAAGGAAGAAGAACCUAGUAGGCCACAAAGUUGCACAGGGGACUCUCUGAGAAACUCAGGUCUACAAAGUAUAUUUUCUAACUUAAGAGGCCACUGCCAACUGCAGCCUGACUUGCAUGAGGCCUGGCAGAAGACAGUGGAACUCAGGUGCCCCAAAGAUUUGAAGAUCACAUCCUGGGGCUUUCAAGGUUUGGUAAGAUGGGCAGUGCAUCAAGGUAGGCUUGCUUUGGAGGGCAUUUCUGGAGGGCAGGGGAUGUUCAUUUCUGUUUUCCAUCUAGGAAGAGAACCUGCAGUUGGGAGACGCUUAGAAAAGAGGAAAAGGUGCUCCCUGAGAGCAGAGAAAUUUGAAAGAAAGUGUCCAACUGCUAUAGGCAUACUCUGGUGCCAGGGGUGGAAUGAGACAUCCAGAGCCCUGAGAGAACUCUGAGGAUCGCUCGGCUCCUGGAAGUCUGUGAGGGAUGUCGGGGACCUGAGACAGGUUCUCUCAAGUUGUAAGAACGAGAGACAAAGGGGACCCCAGUGAGUACUGUUGGGUCCCUAGAUGUCACCAGAACAGUCAGAGGCCUGUAAUGAGCAGGAAAGGGCUUUGGGAUUGAUAAGUCAGGCUGGACAUCUCUGCAGAUUUGGGGGAGUAUUGUCCUGGUGGAUGAGAGGUAGGUGGUAGGCCAAGCAGGAGGGACUUGUCACCAGAGCCUCCUAUUUCAUCUCCUGUUUCCGUACUUACCCCUGCUAUAAUCUCAGUCAUAUUGUGUUUUUAGAAGCACCAUUUAAAGUUAUCUGAUUAAAAUGAAUUUGUUUAUUGAUCAUUCCCUCUAUUCAUCUCAUUUAAAUGCCAUUGUAUUCAAUUGGGUAUCCAGUACUUAGAGUGGGCCCCAGCAUAUAGUAGAAGCUCAGUAAAUAUCUGUUGAAUGAAUGAAUGUGUAAGGGAAAUGAAUGAAAAUCUGGACUGAAGCAAGUUUUUGACCAAUUGCUAUUUACAAGGUGGAGAGAGAUCUGAAGGAUGACACACUUAUGUGGACAAUUAAGUGGAUAAAUGAAUAAGAAAUGUCACCUAAUAGAUGGCAAGGGUCUCCAGGGGAAGGCCAUGGGACCCUUGGCUAUUUCCUGUUAAUCACUAAUGUUUGGGUAUCCUCAGAUGCACCCUAAGUGUGUUGUUCCAAGCUGUAGGGUGAUGGCCAUGCUUUAUUCUGAGUGUAGCCUAUUACACUUAGGUUAACAGUUCAAGUUUAACAGAAAUUGCCAGUCCUUUUACAUACAUAGGUAUAAAGAGGAGAGUGACUGGACACCAGGAAUGGGACAAGGGCAGACUUGGUAGGGGUGAGGGGUGGUGUACAUAGUACUGGGAAGAUUGUAUAACUAAGACAUUUGAGGAAGAGGGACUGGAUUUAUUCCUAGUGACCCCAAGGAGACAGGUGAGGACCAAAGAUUGGAAGUUAAAGGCAUUUGGGCCAAUGCUAGGGAGAUGACUCUAACUGUUGUCCCUGACCAGCAUUGGGCUAGAAGAACUCAUGGGAUUGACAGUUCUUUAUAAUGGGGGCCAUCCAACCAGAGUGCUUCGUACAGUGCCUGGCCCAGUUAAGUGAAGAAUAAAUGCUGUUUUCUGGGAUCCAGGUUAAGGUUAGGAGUUUCAUUGACCACCACUAGGGGGAGCGCUGGCCCAGUUUCUACUUCACGGUCCUGGGGAUUAAGCACAUCGUGCUCCCAAAAAAAUAAGUGAUAGUGAAGAGGAGCAAAGAAAGAAAACGUGGUGAUGGUGCCGGGAAUAAAGGUAGAUGGGAGUCCCCUGGGGAGCCGAGGCAUUUGCAGAACCAGCUGGCAGUGACUGAGGGAUUAAUGAUGAAGGCUUCCCCGGGAACGGCCAGCAGCCUGGCAGAGCGAGCCUGGUCUCUGGGGACAGUGAUUCCUCUGCCCUGAAAAACCCGAGCCUACCGCACUCUGCACACCUGUGUGAGCCUGGACGCUCACAGAAGGCAUCUAAAGAAAACAGUGACUUGUCACAGUUUCAGUCUGUACGUUUGUCUCGAAAUACAUGUUUCCUAUUAAUUUUUUUUUUGAAUGACUAUGUUUUGCAAGCUUAUGGCAGAAGGAAGCACUCAGCUAUCUGGUAGAUGAUGCCAAAUAUCGGAACUGGCAGCUAUUGUCAGCAGAGUGAUUCCUCCAGUCAUUUACCUCUCAGACACAAACCCAUUCCCCUACUCUCACCUCUGUACGGCUGGGGCUGAGACUGCAAAUUGUUUUGCCAGCUGAUUCUUUUUCCUUUUUAAAUUAAUUAAUUAAUUAAUUUCAGUUAGGUAUAUAUGACAGAGAGUGCAUUUUGAUUCAUUGUGCAAAUUGCACAAUGAAUUUACGUUUCUCUGGUUGUGCACGAUAUAGCAUCGCACCGUAUGUGCAGUCAUACAUAUACCUAAGGAACGAUGUCCAUCUCAUUCCACCAUCUUUCCUGCCCCCAUGCACCAGUUGAUUCUUGUUAGUUCAGCCAAUAAAUAGGGCAUCCCAGGGAGCCAUCAGGGGACUUCCUGUGUUGUUUGUUUACUCUUCUGGCCAUCUUGGUACCAAAUGUCAAUAGUGUUAUUUUGUGCUGUCUUGUUAGCUGCAGCAGUUUGUUCCAGCUGCCAGCUUCCUUCUAAGCUCCCAGAACCAGCCUCCUCCUGUGGCACUAGCCAGCAGCAAUUGGGCAACACCCUAGCUUGGAAGUCUCUGUCCUAACUCUGGGGAGUCCCUUCUGCAAGCUUCUAGCUUUGGGUAUUCCCAGUGCCCUUCCAUUGGUCCCUCCCAUCAAUGGCAGUAGUUUCCUUGUCUUUAUUAGCUAUUGUACUUCAGUGUCCCUCAUCAUCCCCCUUAUUUUUAUUUUAUUUUAUUUAUUUUUUUGCAGCCUUCCAUCACUUUGUGACCAGUUCCCUAAGUGAAAUUCCCUCUGUUGAAAUAACUGUUUUCCUGACACUGCUGGGGGUUCUACUCUUCUCCAUUGCUGUGGUUAACACAGGGUUCUCUGUCUGGAGGUCAGCUGUAGGUACUGGCAUAUGGAAGAUUACAAGAGGAGAGGGGUGGGGGUGGAGAGGAGGAGGAGGAGGAGGAGGAGGCAGGUUCAGGCACAAGGUGCAGGUAGGCAGAUUUUGCUAAGUUUGACAAUUUUGUUCAGGGCUAACGUGAGCAAACAAUGCAAAUUCCCUAAUUGGGAUUCUGGAACCAGUUUUAAAGAGUAUGCAAAUAUAUUUCAAAGUAGUCAUGAUAAAAAAAGAUGAUAAAAAGGUGAGCAUAAGAAGGAAGAGGGAAAAAAAUGAGAUGUAUGCUUUGUAAACCCUUUUUCUUUUCCUUCCCUCCUUCCUCCCUCCCUCCCUUCCUUCCCCUCUCCCCCUCUUUCCCUUCCUUCCUUCCUUCCUUCCUUCCUUCCUUCCUUCCUUCCUUCUUUCUUUCCUUCCUUCCUUCUUUCUUUCCUUCCUUCCUUCCUUCCUUCCAAGUAGACUUUACUGUUUAGAGCAGUUUUAGGUCCAUGAUGAAAUGGAGGUGAAGGCAUGGAAAUUUCUCACAUAUCCCCUGUCUCCACACAUAUGCAGCAUCCCCAAUUACCAAUCUGUCUCACCAGAAUGCUACAUUUUUUUUUUACAAUCAAUGAACCUCUCUGACAUAUCAUUAACUAUCCAAAGACAAUAAUUUUUACAUUAAGGUCUUGAUAUAAAUUCUAUGUGUUUUGACAAAUGUAAAUGAUGUAUCCAUCACUAUUGUAUCACACAGAGCUGCCCUAAAAAUCCUCUGUGCUCUAUUUAUUUCUUCCUCUUUUCUUGUUUAUCCCUGGAAAUCAUUGAUCUCUCUCUCUCUCUCUUUUUUUUUUUUGAUGGUGGGGAUUGAACCCAUGGUCUUGUGCAUGCAACUGAGCUAUAUCCCAGCCCCUCAUUGAUCUUUUGAAAAUCUCUGUAGUUUUGACUUUUCUGGAAUAUCAUAUAUAGUAUGUAGCACUGGUUUGUUUUACUUAGCAGUGCACAUUUAUGUUUCCUCCAUAUCUUUUUGUGGCUUAAAAUUUCAUUUAUUCUAAAUGCUGAACAAUAUUUCAUUGUCUAAAUGGGCCACAUUUAAUUUAUUUGUUCACCUCCUGAAGGACAUCUUGAUGGCUUUUAAGUUUGGGUAAUUAUGAAUAAGGCCACUAUAAACAUCUAUAUGCAGGCUUUUGUGUGUGUGGUCACAAGUUUUCAGUUCCUUUGGAAAAAUACCAAGGAGAGCAAUUGCUGGACCAUAUGGUGAGAGUAUUUUUAGGGUAUAAGAAACUGCCAAACUUUCUUCCAAAGUAAAUGUGCCCUUAUGCAUUCCCACCAGCAAACAAUGAGCAUUCCUGUUGCUUCACAUCCUCAUCGGCAUUUGGUAUUGUCUGAAUUUUGGCCAUUCCAGUAGGUUUAAUAGCAGUACUUUCCCAGUGUUUUCAGUCCCCUAAUGACAUAUGUCAAGGAGCCCUUUUGAUAUGCUUAUUUGCCAUAAGUAUGUCUUUUUUGGUGAGAUAUCUGUUAAGGGCUUUGGCUCAUUGUCUAGUUGGGUUGUUUUCUUAUUUUUAAGUUUUUGAGAUUCUUUAUGCAUUUUAGAUAACAGUCUUUUACCAGAUGUGACACUAAUAUCUUUGCCUAAUAUGGGGCAUUUCUUUUGAUCAAUUUGGCCUUCUUCAUUAAGAUAUUUUCUUCUUUAUUUUUUUAUUAUUACCACAGCAAAGUAGGAUCUAGUGAGUCUUCCUAGAUCAGGAUUAUCUUCAGGAGAAUGGAAGUUUUGAGAAAGGGAGAGGAAAAAAAAUCUUAUUAGCAAUCAUAAAGCUUUGUGGUGGGUAGCAAAGGCCAGUGGAAGUCGGGUCAGGGGGUUCUAAACAGAGGGAAAUGAAAAACUCUGGACUCAAGAAGAUGCCAGAAGUUAGAGGAGAUCUAAAUGUUAGGGAGGAGGGAUCUAAGAACAAUUUUUCUUUGAAAUUUUGCUCUGGUGUUAGUCUCUGUCCUUGUAGAUAUAAGACAUUUUAAAAGAACAGAAUUUUUAAAGCCAGAAAUAAAAUAAGUUCUACCACCUAUUAUCUGAUACACUAUCUGGAAUUCUUCUACAUGUGUACUAACACAUAAAUAAUUCUAAGACGGCCUGGGGAUUGGGGGUCACAGACAGCCAUUCUUGCCUCAGUGCUAGGAAAGCAGUCUGAUUAAAUGGACUGACUGAAGGUUGUGGAGGUUUUGAUUUGUGCACAGAUGGUAUUCAAUUAAUUUAUAUUGUCUGGCUUACUAUUAAGGGACAUCCUGAAAGAGGAGAAAAGACAGUUAUUAGCUAUAGUUUUCAUGCUGGAGAAUCCAGGGUGUGGAGAGGUCUGCGCCCCCUGGGUCUAGGCAAAAGCAGCUGUGUGCUGGACUGGGUUCCUUUCCACAGACCCCCACAAAUGCUCAGUGUGUCUGUGUAAAAGCCAUACUAAUUGCAGUCAUUUAGGUGAAUUGAUUACCAUUUAGGCCUAAGUGCCAACAGCACCGUAAUGAUUCUGCCUAUCAUUAUAUGUGUCAGAUGAAGUCGACUGUAAGCUUUAUUUGAUUACAACAAUAAAUUCUCUCUGUCUCUGGCUUUGUAAACUCAAACUUCAGUUACCUUUGGCUCAACGGCUUGUCAUCUCCAUCAGGAUGGCCCUGCGGGGAAAAGUGAGAAAGUCAUGGCUCCCUCCUUCUCCCCCACCCCCCACCCGGCUUAUUUGGCUCAAGACAAAGCCUUUUCCUGGACUCCUGCCAUUUGGGGUCUAUCUGCUAUCCGGAGACGCCAGCCUCCUCUGUUGCUCUGUUCAUUUUGGCCUGAGCACAGACUGGGGCCUGCCGAAUCUCAAGAACCCCUUGUUUCUUUCCUGCAGUUCCCUGAAGUUGCUUCUCCUGUGCAGGGUCUCUUGGUGCUUGGCCCUCCCUCCAGGGAGGCUGAGUUGUCACUUUCUCUUCAGAGGAAGACAGAGUGUCUCGGAACAAAGUGUCCUGACUGAAGAUGGGGCCCCAGUGGAGGUGUGUGAGCCGAUUACUCAGAAGAGAGUUACUCCUCUUUAUAUUAAAAUAUUCCGUUAAUUAUGUCAGGGCCUAUCAUGUUCACACGGUGGCACUUUACAAAAGAUACACAAAUCGGGGCCCAGUAGGCUCUUGGGGCCAGAAUACCUGCCAGGCCCUAGAAUGCUCAAUAGAACCUGGGAAGAUCAGAGCAUCUUAAACGCAUCAAAGGCCCACCCUUUAGAGUCUCUCCGUGUGAGACGGGCCAUUUGCAGCCGCCACAGAAUGGAGGAUUCUGCCUUUGAAUUCCCACUUCUCUUUAGAAUCUUCCAGGUAUGGAAGGGCGACUGCGGCGGCUGGGAGGUUUAGAAUCUUUGUCUGAACAGAAGGAAACGGCGCAGGCCCAGAAAAGCCAGGGGUCCCUCUAAGGCCCAGCCAAUGAGGAGAGAGCUUCUCAGCGACCACGCCCACUGGGGGGCCGUGCCCGGGGCGUGGCCAGAAUGGUGCCUUGGCCCCGGGGCAGGGGCUGCCUGGCUGCUGUAUCUUGCCCCUCCCGUGGAAAAAAAGGAGCUACACCAAGGGGAGGGAGGCAAACUGGGUCCCUGAGAGUUUCCCACAGAGUGUGUGUGUGUGCGUCUGUGUAGGUUGUUGGUUUUAAUGCAUUAAGUAAAUUUACUGUUACUAUUUAUGCUGGCUACCCAGGCGAUGGGCGCCAUUAAUUAAUUAAUUUUUGACUAUUCGGUAGCUGAAGGGAAGGCUUCUUCACCUAAAGAGGCCCCAAAUAUCAAUGAAGGACCCCAGCAUGUGUGGCAGCUCUUCAGCCUCGCGGAUUCCCACAGGCGUCCCGCAGAGGUCUGGGCCAGCAGCGGGCGCGUCAGAGGCCAAGGCUCUGGAGCUCAGAAGACUCUUAAGAGGCUACAGGGGGAGCAGCUGGAUUCCGAUGACUUGUCCUCCCUGAGGAGGCAGCAAAGAAGACUCCUUAGCUCAGUCUAUUAUGCGAACACCACUUUCCUCCAUCGCCAAACUCCCUUGGCUGGGGUCCAGGCACUUGGCUAGGAUGGAAUCUGAGCUUGGGGCGAGGUCGGGGACCUCUUGAACAGGACAGCUCUCCAUCAGGCCACUGAAGUUUCCCUCCUUUGUGGGAAUUCAGCGCAGACUUGACUGGCAGCCUAGGCACACCCAAGCCACCCCAGAGCUUUCUUGUGGCAGUGCUGAUGGCAUUAGGCUGCCUUUUGGAGCUCAGCAGGGUGAGUGUCGUUUUUGAUGGGCCCUUUGCAGGAAGAAGGUGAGAGCAGCUCCCACCUUCUCACUCUGGCCCCAGAUGUCACAGUGUGCCAGUUCCUGUGGUCCUGACACAUGCAGUUUUGGCUUUAUGUGCUUGCUUUAUGGGCUUUUCAAGCACAUAUCCAAUGUUUCUUUUUUAGUUGGUUUUUAUGGCCACCCAGACUAGUGUUUUCAGUGGGGUGGGUGAGAGUGCAGAGUGAAAUCAGACUCACUGUUCUCUACUGCAUUGAAGAAUGUCCCCACAAAUUCAUGCUUACCUAAAAUCUGAGAAUGUGAUCUUAUUUGGGAAGAAGGUCUUUUCUGCUGAGAGCCACAGCCGAGUCUGUAUGGCCCCUGGCAUUUUGCCAACAGUAUUGAUUGACAGGCGAGGCAUUACUAUCCGCCUCUGCCGCAACUUUUGAGUUCUCACACUAUUUUGGAGUUCUCG